CCUACGUGUGGCAGCAGUGAGGAAUAUUGGUCAAUGGACGGAAGUCUGAACCAGCCAUGCCGCGUGCAGGAAGACGGCUCUAUGAGUUGUAAACUGCUUUUGUACAAGGGUAAACCUGAAUACGUGUAUUCAGCUGAAAGUACUGUACGAAUAAGGAUCGGCUAACUCCGUGACAGCAGCCGCGGUAAUACGGAGGAUCCAAGCGUUAUCCGGAUUUAUUGGGUUUAAAGGGUGCGUAGGCGGAUUGAUAAGUUAGAGGUGAAAUGUCCGAGCUUAACUCGGGAACUGCCUCUAAUACUGUUGAUCUAGAGAGUAGAUGCGGUAGGCGGAAUGUAUGGUGUAGCGGUGAAAUGCUUAGAGAUCAUACAGAACACCGAUUGCGAAGGCAGCUUACCAAUCUAUAUCUGACGUUGAGGCACGAAAGCGUGGGGAGCAAACAGGAUUAGAUACCCUUGUAGUC
rnacentral:rRNA from 1 species